CCUCAGUGCAAUGCCAGCCAUCUUCUGGGACUGGGGCUUCAUCCUUGCCCCAGAGGGCUGGCAUGUCCCUGAAUGUCUGACCUGUAAACUUGGCUGUCUGGAAAAAACAGGUCACCCACAACACAUGUAAGGGAUGCCACAGUCCUCUGCAGGAUCCCUUACUUGACGGCCCAUGGGACACUUUUCCCAGUGUGGGAGAGCACUCCAGUUGAUUUCAGAAUCACUGAUGCCUUAGUAGACACUCGACCUGCUAGAGUGGGCAUUGCAGAUGGCCAACGUGACCUCCUGCGUGGAAGUGGUGUGCCCAAAUUUCACGCAAUGGGCUUUGAGGCAGGGGCCGGACUUGGGGAUACCUGGAUGGACACUAGAGCUUUGGCAUAACUGGUAGACAGUAUCUGAAAAAUGCUGGCAGCGUGGCCCAGACCCAAGUGGCAUGCAGGCUCCUGCACCCAGGUUCUUCACCAUUGACACCCUCUGGUGGUGGCAUGUCCAUAUGGGGCCCAUGGGUGGUCCCGUAGCUAGAUGGGGUUUUGUCUGACAAUGGCCCUUUGGAUGAUGCCACAAUCAAAGGCACGCUGUGGUUCUUGACUUCUGACCCCGAGUCCUACUGAGUUUGAAGGCGCUGGGGAACCGUGCAGGCCCCUCACCCUACCCACACCAUGCUCUCAAAGAUGGGAAGGGAUGAGGUGUCCCCACAGGAGCCAUGGAGCAGUGGUGAUGGAGACAGUGUUAGAUGCUGGUGGGCUGCCCAUCAGGGCCCUGUUCCCCAAAGGGAUCUUGGUAUUGCGUCUGUGUGGUAGCAUUCAUGGGCCCUUCUGGGGCCCCAUGCCCACACAUUCAUGGGGAACACAUGGCCGGGCCCUGCCAGCCAAGACCCGGGUUUCUGCCUGCAACCGACCCACCAAGGGCCUGUCGCAAUCACGCUGUGGGAAGACCUGUGCAUGUAGCCUGGUGCCUGCUGUGGCAGCCAUUUUCAGAUGCCUGUAGGGCUUGAAUUCCCUUGUUUCCAGUGGAGCCACAGAUAUUGAAGGCCUUGUGGACACGCUGCAGCCUUCCUUCUCGCCAGACCAGGAUUGCAGGUUUGAGUCAUGAAUGCACUCCCAGCCCCGCCCAUUCUGAGAUCCCUCCCAUUGCCACAGGGAGGUCUGAUGGGGAAGGCGUUUGUCAUUGCUGAGCUGCCUCUCUCUGUGCACAUCCCGGGCCCCAACUGAGAUCCCACCUGGCACACUGAGAGGAGUUUGGCCUAUCUUCAGGAAUAGGCCCCAAGCCAGGGGCCCUAAUGGCCACCCAGAGCAUCACAAACACUCUCUGGUAAGCAUGUUGAGCUCAAGGAUAGAAGGCAGCGGCGGGAGGGGACUGCUUCUGUUGGGUCAAUGAUGAGAACUCAUAUGGUCUGGAAGACAGAUGAUGACCUAAAGAUUAUGCUCAAUAGGAUUACCUGAGGCCCAUUGGAGGGCACCUCACUGAGGCAGAAUCCUGUGGACCCCUGUGGCUCUCGUGUAGUGCUGGUACCUGGGGCUCGAGGCGACCGAUCACUCGAGGCUCCCCAGUGGGCUCUCCAGUCUCUGAGCCUCUGCACACGUAGGAUGUGCUCCCGCCCGGGAGUGUUGUGUGCCCAUUACUAGUCCUUCCCGGGAUUCAUCCCUGGGAACCCAACUAAGCUCCCUCGGUGUCCUGAUGUCUUUCAGUGGAAUGUCGUCUUGGUGACCAGGGUCACCAUCUUGUGGGACUGGGGCUUCGUCCUCUCCCCAGAGGGUUGGCAUGUCCCUGAACAUCUCGCCUCUGCACUAGGCUAUCUGGAAAACACAGGACACCCUCGAAACCUGCAAGGGAUGCCACGAACCCCAGGAGAUCCUAUUACUUGAAGGACCAUGGGCCACAUUUCCCAUCAACUCUGGUUGAUGUCACAAUCACUGAUGCCUUAGCAGGCACGUGAUGUGCUGCGGUGGGCAUUGCUGAUGGCCAAUGUGACCUCCUGCCUGGAAGCAGUGCACCUAAAUUUCACGCAAUGGGCUUUGGAGGCAGGGACCAGACCUGGGGUUACCAAAAUGGACACUAGAUAGCUUUGGUAUAAUGGGUAGAUGGUAUCUGAAAAAACCUGGCAGCAUGGCCCAGACCCCAAGUGGCAUGCCGGCUCCUGCCCCCAGUUUCUUCACAAUUGGUACCGUCUGGUGGUCACGUGUCUUUAUGGGGCCCAUGGGUCAUUCCGCAGCUCGAUGGGGUUUUGUCUGACAUUGGCCCUUUGGUUGGUGCCACAUGCCAGGACACGCUGUGCUUCUUGACUUGUGACCCUGAGUCCCAGUGAGUGUGAAGGCACAAGGGAACUGUGCUGGCUCCUCACCCUUCCCUCACCAUAAUCUCAAAGAUGAGUAGGGAUGAGGUGCCCCCCACAGGAGACAUGGAGCAGUGGUGAUGGAGACAGUGUUAGAUGUUGGUGGGAUGCCCAUCAGGGCCCUGUUCCCCCAAGGGAUCUUGGCAUUGCGUCUGCGUGGUAGCAUUCGUGGGCCCUUCUGGGGCCUAUGCCUGCCUAUACCUGGCAAAACACAGGACAGGUCCCUGCCAGCAAAAUCCCGGGAUUGUGCCUGCCACAGACCCACCAAGGUCUGUCCCAAUCACACUGCAGGAAGACCUGUGCAUAUGGCCUGGUGCCUGCUGUGGCAGCCUCCAUGCUCAGACUUCUGUGGAUCUUGAAUUCCCUUGUUUUCUGUGGAGCCACAGAGGCUGAGAACCUUGUGGACACACUGCAGCCUUCCUUCCUGCCAGGCCAGGAUUGCAAGAUUGCAUCAUGAAUGCAGUUCCAGCCCUGCGCAUUCUGAGAUCCUUCCCAUUGCCACAAGGUGAGGUCUGAUGGGAAAGGUGUUUGUCGUUGCUGAGCUGCCUCUCUCUGUGCAGAUCCCGCGCCCCGUUCUUUAUCCCACCUGGCGCACGGAGGGGAGUUUGGCCUAUCUUCGGGAAUUGGCCCCAAGCCAGGGGCCCUAAUGGCCACCCUGCACAUCACAAUCCCUCUCUGGUGAGGUCUGAUGGGGAAGGCGUUUGUCAUUGCUGACCUGCCUCACUCUGCGCAGAUCACACACCCCGACUGAGAUCCCACCUGGCACACAGAGGGGAGUUUGGCCCAUCUUCGGGAACAGGCCCCAAGCCACGGGCCCUCAAGGCCACCCUGCGCAUCACAACCCCUCUCUGAUACCGCGCCCCCACCGAGAUCCCACCUGGUGCAUGGAGGAACAUUUGGCCCACCGUCAGGAACAAGCCUCAAGCCAGGGGCCCCCAUGGCCAUGCCACACAUCAAAAAACUUCUCUGGCCAGGAUUGCAGGAUUGUGUCAUGAAUGCAGUCCCAGCCCCACGCAUUCUGAGAUCCCUCCCAUUGCCACAAGGUGAGGUCUCAUGGGGAGGGUGUUUGUCAUUGCUGAGCUGCCUCUCUCCUCGCAGAUCCUGCGCCCCGACUGAGAUCCCACCUGGUGCACGGAGGGGAGUUUGGCCCAUCAUUGGGAACAAACCUCAAGCCAGGGGCCCCCAUGUCCACUCUGCACAUCACAAAACCUCUCUGAUCCCCUGCCCAAAUGAAGAUCCCACCUGGCCCACAUAAUCAAUUGGCCCAGCUUCUGGAAUACGCCCACACUAAGGUGCCACCCCAGCCAUCUCGCAUUCAAGACACCCUCUUUGUGGGACGUCAUCUUGGCCAGGGUUUCACCAUUUCCCCCACCAUGCCAGGUGAAAGAUGCCACUGCUUGUAGUGGAGGCCCUAGAGGACAUGGUGUGGAUUUUGAGGCCUGUCUCAUGGCAAUGCCGGCCUGUGUGUUGAACUGGGGCCUGUUAUGGCCACAGAGGUCCGUCCUUUCUGUGAACAUCAGCCUUGUGCAAUUGGCUGUCAGUAAAGCAACAGAUCAUCUUGGCAUCUGGAAAGUAUGCAAAUGACAAUGGAUGGCCCUCUUCCUCGCUGGUCCAUGGAACAGUUUUACUGGUGUGAGAGAAUGCCCAACUGGAGGCUCAAACUACUGCAGUAUUUGGAGGUCAAAAGCUAGAACAGGUUACUAUUUUUUUUUCAAGUGAACAAGUUACUUUCAAGAAAGAAAGGUUAGUUGCUAUCCUGGUACUUUUGAAAUUCUUAUGUGUUUUUGGCCAGUGAUAUCAGUAUUUCAAAAUCUGUGAGUUAGUUCUUUCAAAAGUUCAAGGAAAAAUAUCUUAAUGAUAGAUAUUUUUCCCAAUGAAUAUACCUACGUGGAUCAAGGAAUCCUCAUUAUUGUUUCUUCACUUUUUAAUAUAUCUUUUCAAAAUAACUUGAAUAACUUUGGGGAAUCAUUUCCAUAUUUCUUUUUUUCACAAUUUUGUAUUGAAUAAAAAUAAUCUUGUAGUGAAAUUCAACUGUGAUAAAUACUGAUUUUUUAUAUUUAUCUGAAAUAUUCAUAAUAUAGAUGCUUCUACUUAUAUUUAUACUAUAAUCAUAUUAUUUUUGGUACCUCAUUUGCUCCUUAAAAUUUUAGCUGAUUAAAGGGUUUUAUAUGUCCCCAAUAUAUCUUAUCUAAUUUAUUAGAACAAAGGUAGCAUUUUAAUGGUAUAUAUAUGAAUCAUAUUAUUAAGAUACUAAAUAAAAUGUCUACUACAUGUUUACUGUUCUUUAAUCAAACCUACACAAAAUCAUCCUGGUUAUGGAAAUGAUUAUUUGUUGGGAGGGUGCCUGCCUAGAUCAAUGAUGAGCACAAUUGUCUGAAGAUCCUGAGGGAUUGAUUCCAGAUGUCAAUCUGAGGUCCAGAUGAAUUGCCCUUUACUAGAACAAAAAAGACUUUCAAGGCCUGGCUCUCUUUGGUGACCUCUCAGUGCCAACACAAUACCACUGUUAGCAUGAUUUAUAUUUUUCUAAGAAAAGAGCAUUUGUGUCCUAUUUUAUAAGGCACUAUGCACAUUUAGAUAUGAUCAGUAAUCCAAGACUUGCUCCAUUUUCUCACUUUGAACACACAGUUGUAGAGAGAUACUUGUAUAUAGAAAAUAUGUUCUUAACCAACAAAUAAGAGAAUAAAAAUGAAUGAAUUAAUAAGGAGAGAAGCAAUAGUAGUGGGUACUGAAAUUCCCAUUUGGACUAAAAGAAGAAAAAAAUGUAUGCCUAUAUUAAAUAAUGACAAUGGAACCAAUUUUAGUUUUUUGUUAAUUUUGCUGUUGAAUAUUUUUUGAUACCUUGUUUUUGCUUUUCUUUCUGUCAAUUUUUGCUGAGAUAGGAUUGGAACCAGGUUUUCCACUUCAAAGAAUAGAGGUGAGUAACAACAAAGAUCUUUUGAAGUUCAUAUGUCAUAUUCUGUGUGCCAGGUCCUGAGGUCUCUGUGUUCAUCUUUUAAGAAGCUUAUUUAUGAAUAUUUUUAUAAUGUGUCAUUUUCCUCAUUGAGACUCUUAUCAGGGUUAUCUACAUUAUUUUAUCGUUAUAAUUUGUUUUUUCAUUGUAAUUAUUUUCUGCUUUGAUGGAAACAUGUAGAAUUUAAGAGAAUUUUUUUGGCAGUUUCAGAUCAGAUAAAAAAUUGUUAUAGUGAAAUCCAAAUAUUAUCAGAUUUUCUGUAUUUGUUUAAUUAUUGAAAUUUCAGAAGAGAGACUCCAUGAUUCACAAAGCUUUUGUGGUCACACUGCAUUACAUUUCUGCUUCUACCUUAAUUUUUGAGGAUUGACUUGAAUUGUUUCUCAGUUUUACAACAUGAGAAGCCGUAUGUGAAAUUUUGUUAGAUCUCUUUAAGACCAUAAAAUUUUUAUAUGAUUAAAUUCUCAAUAAUUAUUUUGAAACACAAAAUGGUUCAAUUUGCAAUACUAUUCUGUACUUAAAAAGAUAUGAUGUUAAAAGCAUCAAAUGGAGAGAUAUGGAAAUAUCAUAUCAUUAUGAUUUCUUACUAAAACUUGAAAUAUGCAUCCUUAAGAAAAAUGGUUUCUAUAUUUCCUGGCAUGCCUUGUUGAGGAUUUUGUGUUACUUGGGACCUAGUGGUUAAUGCUUUAUGAAUAGGCAAU